CACUAUGAAGCUAGUAGCGCUAACCUUUUAAGUUAGAGAUAAGGGACUCCACAACCCCCAUAGUGA
rnacentral:tRNA from 1 species